rnacentral:sRNA from 1 species
UGCUUUUUGCUUUUGGGGGGGAUGAGAACCCACGAAGUGGGUUCGAACAAUGGCGCAGCCAUUGAGACAGCACGCAACAGCGCUGCUGCCCCCGAAGGGGGUGAGAUGCGAAGCAUCGAAUCAAUCCCACCCUCUCCGCGA